rnacentral:rRNA from 1 species
GGCGCACGGGUGCGUAACGCGUAUGCAACUUGCCUCACAGAGGGGGAUAACCCGUCGAAAGACGGACUAAUACCGCGUACACUCCAGUCUGGGCAUCCAGGUGGGAGGAAAUGAAUUUCGCUGUGAGAUAGGCAUGCGUCCCAUUAGCUAGUUGGUGAGGUAACGGCUCACCAAGGCGACGAUGGGUAGGGGAACUGAGAGGUUGAACCCCCACACUGGUACUGAGACACGGACCAGACUCC